CGGGCGCACGACGGAUGCCUUGGCACCAUCAGGCGAUGAAGGACGCGGCAAGCUGCGAUAAGCCCCGGGGAGUGGCAAGCACACUUUGAUCCGGGGGUUUCCGAAUGGAGCAAUCCGAUGGGGUUUGUCCCCCAUCACCCGCGGCCGAACACAUAGGCCGCGGGGGCGAGACGCGGGGAAGUGAAACAUCUCAGUACCCGCAGGAAGAGACAUCAACCGAGAUUGCGCGAGUAGUGGCGAGCGAAAGCGCAAGAGCCCAAACCAGGCGGCCUGCCGCCUGGGGUUGCGGGACCGCGGCGUGGCACGUCUGCUCGAUAGGGGAACGGUCUGGAAAGGCCGGCCACAGGGGGUGAGAGCCCCGUACCCGAAAUCGAGCGGCGGCCUAGCGGGAUCCCAAGUAGGGCGGGACACGUGAAACCCUGCCCGAAUCCGGGGGGCCCACCCUCCAAGGCUAAACACUCGAUGGUGACCGAUAGCGAACGAGUACCGCGAGGGAAAGGUGAAAAGCACCCCGCAAGGGGAGUGAAAGAGACCUGAAAUCGUGCGCCCACACAACUAUCGCGGCGGCCCGCGUGGCCGUUGCGGUUUGCCUUUUGCAUAAUGAGUCCGCGAGUCACGGUGCGUCGCGAGGUUAACCGAGAGGGGAGCCGCAGCGAAAGCGAGUCCGAACAGGGCGAUCGAGUGGCGCGCCGUGGACCCGAAGCCCGGUGAGCUAUCCUUGGGCAGGGUGAAGUCCCCGUAACAGGGGAUGGAGGCCCGAACCCGUAGGCGCUGAAAAGCCUUGGGAUGACCUGAGGAUAGGAGCGAAAGACUUAUCAAACCGGGUGAUAGCUGGUUCUCUUCGAAAUGCCUUUAGGGGCAGCCUCGGUAAGGCAACAGAGGGGGGUAGAGCACUGAUUGGACUAGCGGCCCUGCCGGGUUAGCGACGCCUGUCAAACUCCGAAUACCCUCUGCCGAGCGCCGGGAGUGAGACCGUGGGGGCUAAGCUUCACGGUCGAGAGGGAAACAGCCCAGACCACCGACCAAGGCCCCCAAAGAGGGCUCAGUCACUAAGGAUGUGAGGUUUCUUGGACAGCCGGGAUGUUGGCUUAGAGGCAGCCAUCAUUUAAACAGUGCGUAACAGCUGACCGGUCGAGAGAUCCCGCGCCGAAAAUGAUCGGGAGUCAAGCCCCCUGCCGAAGUCGUGGACGCAGCCUCGCUGCGUGGUAGAAGAGCGUCCCAAGCGGCGUCGAAGGCGGCCCGGAAGGGCCGCUGGAGCGCUUGGGAGUGAUUAUGCGGACAUGAGUAACGAAAAUCGGGGUGGGAAUCCCCGACGCCGGAAUCCCAAGGUUUCCCGGGGAAGGUUCGUCCGCCCGGGGUGAGUCGGCACCUAAGGCCAGGCCGAAAGGCGCAGCCGAUGGACAACAGGCCAACAUUCCUGUACCCGACGCGCGAGUCUGAGCGAUGACGCAUGCGGAAAGCCAACGCCGCCCCCUGAUGGAAUAGGGGGUGCAAGCGCUUAGGCCGGGGCAUAGGCAAAUCCGUGCCCCAUCAAGGCUGAGGCGUGACGCGGAGGAGGGGCCUGCCCCUCCGAGGGCGCGCGACUAGGCCGCCAGGAAAAACGUCUAGCGAUCGCGCUUCGGGCCGUACCAAAACCGACACAGGUGGGAUGGCACCAAGAUGCCAAGGCGCGCGAGUGAAACCUCGUUAAGGAACUCGGCACAAUGGCCCCGUAACUUCGGAAGAAGGGGUCCCCCGCGAGGGGGCACAGUAAAUGGGCCCAUGCGACUGUUUAACAAAAACACAGCACUCCGCAAACGCGCAAGCGGAAACAUGGAGUGUGACAAGUGACCAAUGCGGAAAGGUCAAGGCAAGGGGUCAGCCGCAAGGCGAAGCCCCGAACCAAAGCCCCCGUGAAUGUCGGCCGUAACUAUAACGGUCCUAAGGUAGCGAAAUUCCUUGUCGGGUAAGUUCCGACCUGCACGAAUCUUGUAACGAUAUGGGCACUGUCUCAACGAGGAGCUCGGUGAAGUUGUAAUGCCGGUGAAAAUGCCGGAUUCCCGCGGAAGGACGGAAAGACCCCAUGAACCUUCACUGUAAUCUGACACUGGUACUCGAUCCGCCGUAUGUAGCAUAGCCGGGAGCCUUGGAAGGCGCGUCGUCAGGCGCGCCGGAGGCGCCAGUGAAAUACCGGUUUCUGCGCGUUGGGCAUCUAACCGCGGCCCGUUCCCGGGCGCGGGACACUGUCAGAGGGUCAGUUUGACUGGGGCGGUUUCCUCCCAAACAGUAACGGAGGAGUUCGAAGGUCACCUCAGCACGGACAGCAACCGUGCGUCGAGCGCAAGGGCAGAAGGUGGCUUAACUGCGAGAGGGACACCUCGAGCAGAUGCGAAAGCAGGACCUAGUGAUCCGGCGGUAACUCGUGGCAGUGCCGUCGCUCAACGGACAAAAGGUACUCUGGGGAUAACAGGCUGAUCGCUGUCGAGAGUUCACAUCGACGCAGCGGUUUGGCACCUCGAUGUCGGCUCAUCGCAUCCUGGGGCUGGAGAAGGUCCCAAGGGUUUGGCUGUUCGCCAAUUAAAGCGGUACGCGAGCUGGGUUCAGAACGUCGUGAGACAGUUCGGUCCAUAUCCUCCGCGGGCGCAGGAAAUCUGACGGGAAGAUUCCCUAGUACGAGAGGACCGGGAAUCACGCACCAAUGGUGUUGCGGUUGUCACGCCAGUGGCACACGCCGCGUAGCUAUGUGCGGAACGGAUAAGCGCUGAAAGCAUCUAAGCGCCAAGCCUCCCCGAAGACAAGAUUUCCCCCGUCGCAAGACGGAGAAGGCGGGUGGAAGACCACCACCUCGAUAGGUCGGCGGUGCACGCGCGGCGACGCGCUCAGCCUACCGAUACUAAUCGCCCACAGGCUUGCCGC
rnacentral:rRNA from 1 species